rnacentral:rRNA from 1 species
GUGGGGAAUAUUGGACAAUGGGGGGAACCCUGAUCCAGCCAUGCCGCGUGUGUGAAGAAGGCCUUUUGGUUGUAAAGCACUUUAAGCGAGGAGGAGGCUUACCUGGUUAAUACCUAGGAUAAGUGGACGUUACUCGCAGAAUAAGCACCGGCUAACUCUGUGCCAGCAGCCGCGGUAAUACAGAGGGUGCGAGCGUUAAUCGGAUUUACUGGGCGUAAAGCGCGCGUAGGUGGUUAAUUAAGUCAAAUGUGAAAUCCCCGAGCUUAACUUGGGAAUUGCAUUCGAUACUGGUUAGCUAGAGUAUGGGAGAGGAUGGUAGAAUUCCAGGUGUAGCGGUGAAAUGCGUAGAGAUCUGGAGGAAUACCGAUGGCGAAGGCAGCCAUCUGGCCUAAUACUGACACUGAGGUGCGAAAGCAUGGGGAGCAAACAGGAUUAGAAACCCUUGUAGUCC